GAUGAACGCUGGCGGCGUGCCUAAUACAUGCAAGUCGAGCGAACGGACUAGAAGCUUGCUUCUCUGAUGUUAGCGGCGGACGGGUGAGUAACACGUGGAUAACCUACCUAUAAGACUGGGAUAACUUCGGGAAACCGCAGCUAAUACCGGAUAAUAUUUUGAACCGCAUGGUUCAAAAGUGAAAGACGGUCUUGCUGUCACUUAUAGAUGGAUCCGCGCUGCAUUAGCUAGUUGGUAAGGUAACGGCUUACCAAGGCAACGAUGCAUAGCCGACCUGAGAGGGUGAUCGGCCACACUGGAACUGAGACACGGUCCAGACUCCUACGGGAGGCAGCAGUAGGGAAUCUUCCGCAAUGGGCGAAAGCCUGACGGAGCAACGCCGCGUGAGUGAUGAAGGUCUUCGGAUCGUAAAACUCUGUUAUUAGGGAAGAACAUAUGUGUAAGUAACUGUGCACAUCUUGACGGUACCUAAUCAGAAAGCCACGGCUAACUACGUG
rnacentral:rRNA from 1 species